rnacentral:rRNA from 1 species
GAUGAACGCUGGCGGCGUGCCUAAUACAUGCAAGUCGAGCGAACAGAUAAGGAGCUUGCUCCUUUGACGUUAGCGGCGGACGGGUGAGUAACACGUGGGUAACCUACCUAUAAGACUGGAAUAACUCCGUGAAACCGGGGCUAAUGCCGGAUAACAUUUAGAACCGCAUGGUUCUAAAGUGAAAGAUGGUUUUGCUAUCACUUAUAGAUGGACCCGCGCCGUAUUAGCUAGUUGGUAAGGUAACGGCUUACCAAGGCAACGAUACGUAGCCGACCUGAGAGGGUGAUCGGCCACACUGGAACUGAGACACGGUCCAGACUCCUACGGGAGGCAGCAGUAGGGAAUCUUCCGCAAUGGGCGAAAGCCUGACGGAGCAACGCCGCGUGAGUGAUGAAGGUCUUCGGAUCGUAAAACUCUGUUAUUAGGGAAGAACAAAUGUGUAAGUAACUGUGCACGUCUUGACGGUACCUAAUCAGAAAGCCACGGCUAACUACGUG